rnacentral:rRNA from 1 species
CAUAUCAAUAAGCGGAGGAAAAGAAACCAACCGGGAUUACCUCAGUAACGGCGAGUGAAGCGGUAACAGCUCAAAUUUGAAAUCUGGCUCCUCUGGAGUCCGAGUUGUAAUUUGUAGAAGAUGCUUUGGGUUGUGGGUUCGGCCUAAGUUCCUUGGAACAGGACGUCAUAGAGGGUGAGAAUCCCGUAUGUGGCCGAGGCCCGCGCCUAUGUAAAGCUCUUUCAACGAGUCGAGUUGUUUGGGAAUGCAGCUCAAAAUGGGUGGUAAAUUUCAUCUAAAGCUAAAUAUGGGCCAGAGACCGAUAGCGCACAAGUAGAGUGAUCGAAAGAUGAAAAGCACUUUGGAAAGAGAGUUAAACAGUACGUGAAAUUGUUGAAAGGGAAGCGCUUGCACCCAGACUUGGGCGCUGCUGAUCACCUUGCGGUCUCCGCGAGUGCACUCGACAGCGCACAGGCCAGCAUCGGUUCGGGUGGCUGGAUAAAGGCCGUAGGAACGUAGCUCCCUUCGGGGAGUGUUAUAGCCUACGGUGCCAUGCAGCCCAACCGGACCGAGGACCGCGCCUUCGGGCUAGGAUGCUGGCGUAAUGGGUGUAAGCGACCCGUCUUGAAACACGGACCAAGGAGUCUAACAUCUAUGCGAGUGUUUGGGUGGUAAACCCAUACGCGGAAUGAAAGUGAACGUAGGUGAGAACCCCUUUGGGGCGCAUCAUCGACCGAUCCUGAUGUCUUCGGAUGGAUUUGAGUAAGAGCAUAGCUGUUGGGACC